rnacentral:rRNA from 1 species
GUGGGGAAUCUUAGACAAUGGUGGAAACCCUGAUCUAGCCAUGCCGCGUGAGCGAUGAAGGCCUUAGGGUUGUAAAGCUCUUUCAGCUGGGAAGAUAAUGACGGUACCAGCAGAAGAAGCCCCGGCUAACUCCGUGCCAGCAGCCGCGGUAAUACGGAGGGGGCUAGCGUUGUUCGGAAUUACUGGGCGUAAAGCGCACGUAGGCGGAUCAGAAAGUCAGAGGUGAAAUCCCAGGGCUCAACCUUGGAACUGCCUUUGAAACUCCUCGUCUUGAGGUCGAGAGAGGUGAGUGGAAGUCCGUGUGUAGAAGUAAAGUACGUUGAUAUUCGGAAGAACACCAGUGGCGAAGGCGGCUCACUGGCUCGAUACUGACGCUGAGGUGCGAAAGCGUGGGGAGCAAACAGGAUUAGAUACCCGUGUAGUCC